rnacentral:snoRNA from 1 species
AUGGCUGAAUCAAGGCCAGCAGUUUGCUGAAGCUGUUGGUUUCAAACAGGAGCCUAAAGAAUUAUCUUUCUGUGGUCUGUUGGCCAUUUCAGAACUUUGGAAAUGUAAUGGUCAAUUCAUUAGAAAAAAACAUCU